UAAGCAAGCACCCCUAAUGACAGCGCUUUUUCUGAAAAGCGCUGCCAUAAGUAAGAAUUAAAAAACACGGACAUUGGAUACAGGAAAAGCGUUGUUUAAAGUUGACAUACGAGAGCGAAGCGCUCUCUAAAGGGGCCUUUACCAGCGCUUUUCAAAAAGCGCUCUCGUAGGCCAUUUAAGUUUUUAAAAAAUAAACAGAAAACCCCAGAUCCCUAAUUCAUUUCACGAUUCCUUUCAUGAGACCUCCAAGUCCACCGCGCGCUUCAAUUCUUGUUCAUCUUCUUCUCCGUUCAUCAACUCCAAUCUCCCCAGUCCUGCUCCUCCCAAAUCCUCUUAUCAACCUCAAAUCCCAAAACCUCCUUCUUCGUCUUCUUCUUUUGCUCCACCUCUGUCUCCUCCUUAUACUCGUCCUGAUAACGCUAACUCUGGAUUCAGACCGGCUCCGAAUACUCUAAGGAAAUGCCAGUUUGCUCUCGUGCACAUCAACUGUUCGACGAAAUGCCAUAACUAACUGCGUUUAAUUUAUAUCCCUUCGUUUCAGGAAAAUCUUUUUCGCAUUCGUUAGACUUUCGCCGACUUCACCUACUUGAACCACUGGGUAGUUAAAGACUACUUCCAUCUGGUGGACUCCAUCAAUGCUUUCAAGUCUCGGAUUCAAGCUCUCUCCAAUGAGCUGUUGGCUGCCAAAAUCGAAGAGUUUCGCUUCCGGCUUGGGCGAGGGGAGAUACUUGCUGUUUGGUGGGUUUUUUCUCAGCUUUAUGCUAAGAACCUUGUGUAUAAAGGUUUUAAGAUAGAAAUGGAUGAGGAGUGUUUAAAACAUGCAAUGGAUUUGAGUGGAUUGUUGCUUCUAUACUCUUCAUUAGGAGAUGCUGAAGGAAUAUCAAAACUUUCAAUUCUUGCUAAAGAGCAAGGAAAGAACAAUGUUGGGUAAACUUAAAGACUGCCUUCAAUUGUUGGUAGAAAGGUUAAAUUCUACCGUUGUACUCUUUCAUUAACGGCGUUACUUAAAUGGGUGGUGGGAAGGUGCGAAGGUGGGUUGGUUAAACUGUGAUUACAAAUUUUGAUAGUGUCUAUUUCCUCUUCUAUCAAUAUAUGGUUCACAAUGUCAGCAGAAGCUAUAUCAGCCUUGAUGAAUUUGAACUUUGGUGAUGAAGUGCAUGGUUGAAGAUUCUUAAAAGUUGAGCAAUAAUCUAGCUUAUCAAGAGCUAUAAUAUUGUAGUUAGGGUAUCUUUUGAUUAGCCUGGUGGUUACAUGGGAGGCUAUGAAACCAGCAGCACCAGUUAUGAGAAUGUUCUUUGGUUCAUA